rnacentral:rRNA from 1 species
CUAAAAUGACUCUCGGCAACGGAUAUCUAGGCUCUUGCAUCGAUGAAGAACGUAGCGAAAUGCGAUACUUGGUGUGAAUUGCAGAAUCCCGUGAACCAUCGAGUCUUUGAACGCAAGUUGCGCCCGAAGCCUUCUGGCCGAGGGCACGUCUGCCUGGG